rnacentral:lncRNA from 1 species
AAUCUUCAUGCAGGUCAACUUCAAGACAACUGGGUGUCAAGAGCAAGGAAGAAGACGGCCUAUGAAGUGAAUUUAACAUACAAUGAUUAAAGGAAGUGCUACACUCUGCUGCCUCCUGCAAGUAGCACGUUGAAGACAGCUAAAGUCGUUCAAAAACCUGGAAAGAAUUACUAAGAUCCAUAAGAGUUGACAAGAACGUGGAAGACUCCCAUAACCACCUAACCGCAUCCUGUGCGAGCCGCAUAAGAUGGUUUCUGGAGCUACUGUACAAACAGGUCUAGAGCUUGGCAAAAACCAGCCAUAGAAGCUGUGAGAAGACAGACUUCAAGUCAUUUUUAUAGGCAGACCUGGAUCAACACAGCUUGAGAAGUAGGAACUUAUCAAAGCUCUUAUGUGGAAGAAACUUAGAUGACCACCUGCACUGACCUGUCCUG